rnacentral:rRNA from 1 species
AUGAGGGGCCUUAUAGUCCGGAUGUGGCCUGGCAAGCCCCUGUCCGGCAGCUACUUCGGCCUGGUGAGGCGGCUAGUGGAAUCCUGCCCAUGGCUUGAAGUCAUCAAGCGGUCCGUCUGCAUCGAGGGUGCACACAGGGCUUUUGCCCGGGCAAAGGUGCACUGGGCGAAGCUGGACGCCGUGAAGCUGGUGAAGGAGGGGCCAUCGAAGGGCAAGGAGCAUCGCUGCCCCAAGAAUUAUUAUGAGAGUGUCCUAAAGGGUUCCCGCUUAGUGGCAGAUGAGUGUGCCAAGGAUGUAAUUUUUGAAUGA